CCAUAACUCAUGAACUUCAUUUUCUGUGUGUGCAUUCAUUUAUGGCUUGUGUUGUUCAUGUAUACUCUUUUCUUUCAUCAUGCUACCCUAAAAAUGAAACCUUUUGUCAAUUGCAAGUGCUAAUGUAAAGUUUCUGAUAGGCAUGUGCUAAAAGGAUUCAAGGUGAUGAAAGUGGGCACAAGCACUGUACUGGACAAUACUUCGAUUAUUGGCAAUGCGUUGACAAAUGUGUAAGCCCAUCUUUCCUGUUUACAUUUAUUCAUCUGCUGCCUCUGUUUCGGGUAUAUUUCAACUGUAUAUUAAUAUUUUGUCUGUUUUGCUGCUGACAUUGGUUUUUAAUGCACAGGUUGCAACAAAGCUGUUUACUCAUCUUAAGUAACUGGGCAAGACCUCAUUGUUAUGCUGGCACCAGAUAAAGCUCUUUUGUUCAAAACUAGUUCAGUAUUAUUCUAUUUUUGUGAAAACCAUUGAUGCUUGUAUGCCGCUACUUAGCUAAAUGGAACGUUGAACUAUGCGCCCUGCAUUGCGAUCAAUAAAAGGAAAACCGUGGGAUUGAAUUCAUUUGCUUUUGCAAUUAUUUAUGUUGCUUUCGUUUAACAAUUUACCGUUUAGUGUUUUGGAAAAUUAUUUGUUAACCUCAUUUGUAGACUCUUCUGAGAUUUUCCUUUGUUUUCUCUCUUU
rnacentral:lncRNA from 1 species